AAAGGGGAUUAAUUUUGUUUGACAGCUCCAGUAACAUCAAUGCUUAUUUGCUUGUGUUACAGACUACUCGAACCAGAUGCUUGUGGCAUUUAAAUAUGGAAAAAGCUAACAAGGUAUGUAAGAAAGUAUCAGAAGGUUGUGAAAAGCUAAGGCAGCUCAUUGUGUAUCUGAUCUUCAUUUUUAACCUUCAGGCAUUCUGAUCUGUCUUGCUGGUGAGCUGUAUCAUAAGUUGCAUGUAGGCCAAAGAAUAUAUAGUACACCAACAUUACAAUAGUGCAUAUUCCGAACCUUAUGAAAGCCUGGAUCCCCAAAGAGCCCAUGAGAAAGAUAUUUGCUGCAAU
rnacentral:lncRNA from 1 species